UACGGGGGGAGCAAGCGUUGUUCGGAUUUACUGGGCGUAAAGGGCGCGUAGGCGGCCACCGCAAGUCGACUGUGGAAAUCUCCGGGCUUAACCCGGAAAGGUCAGCCGAUACUGCGGGGCUAGAGUGCAGAAGGGGCAACUGGAAUUCUCGGUGUAGCAGUGAAAUGCGUAGAGAUCGUGAGGAAGACCCGUGGCGAAGGCGGAUCUCUGGACGGCUAACUGACGCUGAGGCGCGAAGGCCAGGGGAGCAAACGGG
rnacentral:rRNA from 1 species